UAGCUCAGUGGUUAGAGCAGGCGACUCAUAAUCGCUUGGUCGCUGGUUCAAGUCCAG
rnacentral:tRNA from 2 species